CAGGUUAUGUGGAAAAGCCUGUGCUUGGUGGAGAUCUACUGAAGAUGACCACAGCAUCCCAGGUCCCAAGAGGGGACUGUUUUAGUCAUUUUCUACUGGGCAAACUGAAUUACUCCAGAUUAUAGAAAAACCUGUGCUUGUGGAUCUACAUCGGAUGACCAUGGCAACCCAGGUGUGGAAAUAGUAGUUUUUAAUCUGAAAUCUGUGUAAUCUAAGAUGGACAAUUCUUCUGACACCAUAUGAAUGCAUACUGUCAUCUGGCAGAAGCUAGAUAAUUUAGAUUAUAAAGUUAUAUUUUUUUUACACCUGCAUCUCUUUGCUUCAGAAGGCCUUUAUUAAAGGAUUAGUUAACCUCGAAAUGAAAAUUUCCUGAUCAUUUACUUACCAAUGCCAUCCAAGAUGUCCAUGUCUUUUCUUUCUUUAGUGGAAAAGAAAUUAAGUUUGAAGAAAACAUUUCAGGAUUUUUCUCAACACAAUGGACUACACGUCACAAUCCCAGUUGAGGAAUAGGAUCUUCUUUAGCAAAACGAUUGGUCAUUUUCUAAAAAACCCACAAAAACAUUUAUUAGAGUUGGGUCCGAGUCCACCUUUGUCGAGUACGAGUCAAGACCAAGUCCUUAAACUUCAAGUCCGAGUCCAAAAGGGUCUGAGUUGGACUCAAGUCCAGUACUUAAAGGCCGAGUCCAAGUCGAGUCCGCCCGAGUCCAGAAAGUAAUUAAAUUGAAAAAAGAUAAAAAAUUUGUAUUGUAAAUGGUUACUUUCUAUUAAUACUUUAACCCUUCAACCUAUUUAACCAAUGGCAAUAUAAAAAUGUAAUAAAAAUACCUCUAUUGCAUCUUGUCAUUGCCAUUGAACAUUUUUAUUCUAUGUCAACUUGUUUCCUAUCAAAACUGAUUUCAAAGAAAAGAAAGGGAUAUAAAGGUAUCUUCUUUUACCAGAUGUCUUGCAAAUAAAUUCUCUAUGAUUUUCGUAAGCAAAACAAAUUAUUGCUGACUUUGCUAGCCACGCAUUGAUGUGUGUGAUGUGUUUGUCUGCAAGUAUGAUGCGACUGGCUGCUGCCUGCCAGUGUGUUGCAGUAAAAUAACAGGAGGGGAGACGGUCCCGUACAUACUGCCAAUUAAAUUGGGUUGUCACUUCACAUUUUAAUGCUUAAUCCUGUUCUGUACACACACACUUCAGUAAUUUACGGUAUUUACGUACAAAAAAGCCGAGGACCUGGCAACACUGCAAGACCGCGCGCUGUGAAGCAGCCUCACAAAAGAGGGGUACAAUACACAACGUCCGGACGGAGGUUCAUUGCAAAACACAAUGCUGUUAGAUUAUUUUUGUCAAAGCUGUGAGUGAUAAGCACGCGAGACGGCAGAACGUUGCUAUGGUUAUUUCUGUGUCAAUCAUCACAUUUAGGGGAGUGAGUCUUGUUACAGAGUCUCAUACAGACAUGAAACGAACAUUUAGGGGAUUCACUCCCGCAUUUAAAUGCGGUUGUCACUCUCGAAAGUUUGCAGUGUGUACGAGACGAGACAUUAAUUAAUUUCUCAUCUCAAGUUCAUGCUGUUUUUAAUGUUGCACAUGACGUGGACUCGACUGUACUCAGGAUAUUUUCCGAGUCCAAAAUGCCCAAGUCCGUGUCAAGUCCGAGUACAAAUUCACCCAGUGCGUGACAAGUCCGAGUUCAUGCAAAAUUGGACUCGAGUCCGGACUCGAGUCCAAGUUCGAGUACCCCAACUCUAACAUUUAUAUACUUUUUUUUACCACAAUUGUUAAGCUUGUGCUGGUCUGCGACGCGCCAGGCAUUACGUCAUCUCGUUGGAAUUGUCCCCCGUCAUGUCAUUUAUCUAAUAUAUUUAUCUGUGUACUCCAUUUAAAAAGGCAGGGUAGGGCAACAAAUUCCAUCUAAUUUUUCCUCCAAUUUCAACAUCUUUGUUUUUUAAUUUAUUAUUAUUUAAAAUGGUUCCAACGAGAUGAUAUAAUGUGCUGGUCUUCAAUGUGCCAGGCAAGAUGAACAUUUGUGGUUAAAAAGUAUAUAAAUGAUUAUUAUUAUUAUUAUUAUUAUUAUUAUUUUAGAAAAUGGUAGAUCGUUUCAGAUACUGUAAGACCUUAUUUCUCAGGUGCGACUGUGCACAGCCCAUGAAACUGCAUUGAUUUGGACUUCAACAUUUUGGUUGCAAUUGAAGUCCAUUGAGCGGAGAAAAGUCCUGGGGCCUCAUUUAUAAAGCGUGCGUACGCACAGAUUUGAUCGUAAAGUUUGCGUACGCAAAAAUCCACGGCAAAGUGCAUAUUUAUAAAAGCUGUCUUUGACGUGGAAAGUGCUUAGCGCCAUGUCAGGGUCUGAGCAGACGUACGCACUUUUGCUUGUCUGAUUGCUGCAGGUUUUUGGAAAUAUAAGCCAUUCUUGCUGUUUGAAAUUUGGUUUAAACAUUGAGAAGUGCUCUUUUAUAUGUCUGUGACAUUAAUUAGACAUCGUUUAAAGGCGGAGAUCUGAAACUGCUCGGCUGCGCACAAGUUCAAAUUCAUUUGCGAUUUAUAGAUUUGAAAGGGGUACGCGCGUUUUUUGCGCGUACGUUCGGUUUAUGAAUCACACGUACGCAUUUUUUAUAAAUGAUCGUAAGAUCAAAUGUAGGAUGGUUUUUACGCAGCAUUUUAUAAAUGAGGCCCCUGAAAUGUUUCCUCAAUGAAAUGUUUUUAUUUUGCCAGUAAAACAUAGCCUGGUUAGCCAGACCUACAUCAAGAUGUAAGGUCUGGCAACUCUUCACACAAACGGCUCAAUGCAAGGGGCGGGAGAUAAGGUUGUCCCUCAAAAUGCCUCUGCACGCAUUUGGAUAGCGCUAUGACCAAUGAGAACAACGAAGAAGGUGACGUAGUUACCGUAACCAGUCGGCAAAACUCCAAACACAUCUUUCUUGCUUAAAAAGGACUUGAGUAGGGUUAUUUGCUCUUCUCUCAAAGAAAAACGUCCUCCAGAGUCGCGGCCAAAGCCGCUUCAAAAGAAAGCUGUUCGCCAGCAGCAGCAGCCAUUCGUUGCAGCUCUGUCGUCAUCAUGUUAAGCCCGCCCCACAGACGCUACACACGAUGUGAUUGGCCUGACCAAAUUUUGGUUUUUGGAGCUGUUAACUGUAUUGUGAGUGCCUAGACUAAACCCUGGCAGCAAAUAUAUUUUGCGGCCGCUAGGGUGCGUCUAGAUUUCUAGGCUAAGUAAAACAUUUUAUUUGACACAAUUAUUUUAUUAAUUAUCAUAAUGUAGCUAUUUUUUAUGCUUUGCUUGUAUUUCUACUGUCCAAUUAACAUUAAAUACUGUUUAGAAUUGACCAAAAUGACUGUUCUGUUUUAAAGGAGGUACCCUAUACAUUCUUAUAGUUUUUAUUUUAAUGCAAGAAAUAACAUUUCUUAGUUACUAUACAUGAGAUUGGCUAUAUUUUAACACAAAAUUAAUGUUGGUAGACAUGGCUGUUUUAUAUAACGACAACUAAAUACCUUAAAGCUCUACUGUGUACUUUAUUGAGUUAAUUCUUAACAAAAACCCAUGUUUUCUUUCAAAAGUAUGUGCUCAUUCAUGUGUAAUUACUUCCCACCCACUAAUCAAAGUAUUCUCGUAAGUGUAGAAUCUGCUAUUUAAAAUGCAUACCGUCGAAGCGCUCUCUGGCUGAAUCCAUGUUGUGCCUCCAUCUUUGAAAUACAUUCGCCGACGAGGGACAUUCCUGAAAUUCAAGCUCCGCCUUUCGCGCUUUCACUCUACACUCACGCUGCCCGAUAGCUGAAGCCUCCAGAGGUUGCAUGUGUAGGCGCUAUACGUCAUCAAGACAGUCUUAUUUCAGAAUAUUAACAAUUAUAAAGCUGACAAUUAUUCUUAGUUAAUUGUAAGUUGAUGUAAUAUGCGUAUGACUUGCGAAUGUAAUGCUCAGUUAAUUUAAAUAAACCAGGCUUGAUGACGUAUCCAGCUUGUGACCUGCGUAGCUGAAUCCUUCGGAUUUUACAACAACCGCACACCGUGAUGAACCUGCGAUCUAAUGCUUUGAUUUGAAAGCCUGUUGAAGACAUAUUCUCGAGGACAUUAAAACAAAUCGCCAAGGAUGCGAAACGGGGAUUUUAAACGACAACGUGAAAGGAAAAACAUCAAGACCAAAGUCACUAUUGGAGUUAGUUUUCCAAGAUGGGGCUCAAGGGACACUGAAGUUGCACUUUCUAUAUUCUCCACAGGUAAUUCAGCAUAUUCGUUUACAUCUAUACAGUCCAUGUUGUAAACUUAAGGUUUUAUAGUUCUUUGGCUAACUUUAGCAUGAUUAUGCAUAACACUUGUUAGUGUAAACAUGCAUGUGGUUUAACGUGUUCGUACAGACACACGCCGUCUCUCCGCCCAUUUAUGUAAUCUGAGGUACUGAGAUAAAGUUUUUCAUCUUUUCUGAAGUCUAGCACAAACACACGGUGACAGCGCUAUUUUUAGCCUUUCAUUGAUAAAAGCGUCUGAUCUGCGCGUCUUUCGUUUCAUUUUACAAGCGUGUGAAUGUUGCGCGAUCUUUUUUCACCAAUAUGAGAGAAAGCUCUUACAUAUACAC